rnacentral:snoRNA from 1 species
UCAAUGAUGAACAAAAAAAUCUCAUGUCAAUUCCUUUAACAUGAAAUAAUCCAUGAUUAUAAUGAUUUUUCAUUUCUGAUC